rnacentral:rRNA from 1 species
AGAGUUUGAUCCUGGCUCAGGACGAACGCUGGCGGCGUGCCUAAUACAUGCAAGUAGAACGCUGAAGAGAGGAGCUUGCUCUUCUUGGAUGAGUUGCGAACGGGUGAGUAACGCGUAGGUAACCUGCCUUGUAGCGGGGGAUAACUAUUGGAAACGAUAGCUAAUACCGCAUAACAAUGGAUGACACAUGUCAUUUAUUUGAAAGGGGCAAUUGUUCCACUACAAGAUGGACCUGCGUUGUAUUAGCUAGUAGGUGAGGUAAUGGCUCACCUAGGCGACGAUACAUAGCCGACCUGAGAGGGUGAUCGGCCACACUGGGACUGAGACGCGGCCCAGACUCCUACGGGAGGCAGCAGUAGGGAAUCUUCGGCAAUGGGGGCAACCCUGACCGAGCAACGCCGCGUGAGUGAAGAAGGUUUUCGGAUCGUAAAGCUCUGUUGUAAGUCAAGAACGGGUGUGAGAGUGGAAAGUUCACACUGUGACGGUAGCUUACCAGAAAGGGACGGCUAACUACGUGCCAGCAGCCGCGGUAAUACGUAGGUCCCGAGCGUUGUCCGGAUUUAUUGGGCGUAAAGCGAGCGCAGGCGGUUUGAUAAGUCUGAAGUUAAAGGCUGUGGCUCAACCAGAGUUCGCUUUGGAAACUGUCAAACUUGAGUGCAGAAGGGGAGAGUGGAAUUCCAUGUGUAGCGGUGAAAUGCGUAGAUAUAUGGAGGAACACCGGUGGCGAAAGCGGCUCUCUGGUCUGUAACUGACGCUGAGGCUCGAAAGCGUGGGGAGCGAACAGGAUUAGAUACCCUGGUAGUCCACGCCGUAAACGAUGAGUGCUAGGUGUUGGAUCCUUUCCGGGAUUCAGUGCCGCAGCUAACGCAUUAAGCACUCCGCCUGGGGAGUACGACCGCAAGGUUGAAACUCAAAGGAAUUGACGGGGGCCCGCACAAGCGGUGGAGCAUGUGGUUUAAUUCGAAGCAACGCGAAGAACCUUACCAGGUCUUGACAUCCCGAUGCUAUUUCUAGAGAUAGAAAGUUACUUCGGUACAUCGGUGACAGGUGGUGCAUGGUUGUCGUCAGCUCGUGUCGUGAGAUGUUGGGUUAAGUCCCGCAACGAGCGCAACCCCUAUUGUUAGUUGCCAUCAUUCAGUUGGGCACUCUAGCGAGACUGCCGGUAAUAAACCGGAGGAAGGUGGGGAUGACGUCAAAUCAUCAUGCCCCUUAUGACCUGGGCUACACACGUGCUACAAUGGUUGGUACAACGAGUUGCGAGUCGGUGACGGCGAGCUAAUCUCUUAAAGCCAAUCUCAGUUCGGAUUGUAGGCUGCAACUCGCCUACAUGAAGUCGGAAUCGCUAGUAAUCGCGGAUCAGCACGCCGCGGUGAAUACGUUCCCGGGCCUUGUACACACCGCCCGUCACACCACGAGAGUUUGUAACACCCGAAGUCGGUGAGGUAACCUUUUGGAGCCAGCCGCCUAAGGUGGGACAGAUGAUUGGGGUGAAGUCGUAACAAGGUA